GGAGACAUAGCUCAGUAGUAGAGUACUUGCCUAGCGAGUGUGAGGUCCUGGGUUCAAUCCCCAGCACCA
rnacentral:tRNA from 1 species